rnacentral:rRNA from 1 species
GACGAACGCUGGCGGCGUGCUUAACACAUGCAAGUCGAACGGAAAGGCCCUGCUUUUGUUGGGUGCUCGAGUGGCGAACGGGUGAGUAACACGUGUGUAACCUGCCCUUGACUUUGGGAUAUCUUCAUUAAACUGGGGCUAUUACCGCAUAUGAGCUCCUGCUGCAUGGUGGGUGUUGGAAAGUUUCGGCGGUUGGGGAUGUACUCGCGGCUUAUCAGCUUGUUGGUGGGGUAGUGGCUUACCAAGGCUUUGACGGGUAGCCGGCCUGAGAGGGUGACCGGCCACAUUGGGACUGAGAUACGGCCCAGACUCCUACGGGAGGCGGCAGUGGGGAAUAUUGCACAAUGGGCGGAAGCCUGAUGCAGCAACGCCGCGUGAGGGAUGACGGCCUUCGGGUUGUAAACCGCUUUCGCCAGGGAAGAAGCGAGAGUGACGGUAAUGGGAAAAGAAGCACCGGCUAACUACGUG